AAACGAUUUAAAAAUUCUAUUCACUCUUUGGCCUUUGCUGGAUGAAAAUCUUCCACACACCUCGAUAGCGAAAACUCUGGAGCAUGUUAUAUAGAGGUUCGUUUUCAUGAAUAGCCACUUGAUUCUGGUGCUGGUUGUCGAGAGGCAUGUACUGAGACAUAAUCGCCAUGAUCUCCGAGUCCAUGUAUGCCUGUUUCAUUAAACAUUGAUGAGAUCAUCUUCGAAUGUAGCUGGUGGUUCGAAAAUUGAUGGAAUCGUGAGCUUUUCGAUGAAGUCGUAUGCCGUGGAGCUGGCCUCAGGGGAGUCCAUGGUUAUCAGAGGCUCGUCUAUGGUAUCG